GGCUGUUUAGCUCAAUGGUAGAGCCCUGCUCCCACUGGAUGACAGCAGGUAACUUAUAUGUGCAGGAGAUCUGGGUUCAAUUCCCAGAGCAGCUG